UACGGAAGGCAGCAGUGGGGAAUAUUGCACAAUGGGCGAAAGCCUGAUGCAGCUAUGCCGCGUGUAUGAAGAAGGCCUUAGGGUUGUAAAGUACUUUCAUCGGGGAGGAAAAACAAAACUAAUAAUUUUAUUUCUUGACGUUACCCGAAAAAGAAGCACCGGCUAACUCCGUGCCAGCAGCCGCGGUAAUACGGAGGGUGCUAGCGUUAAUCAGAAUUACUGGGCGUAAAGAGCACGUAGGUGGUUUUUUUAAGUCAGAUGUGAAAUCCCUGGGCUUAACCUAGGAACUGCAUUUUGAAACUGAAAUACUAGAGUAUCGUAGAGGGAGGUAGAAUUCUAGGUGUAGCGGUGAAAUGCGUAGAUAUCUGGAGGAAUACCUGUGGCGAAAGCGGCCUCCUAAACGAAUACUGACACUGAGGUGCGAAAGCGUGGGGAGCAAACAGGGAUUAAUACC
rnacentral:rRNA from 1 species